rnacentral:tRNA from 1 species
GUAACGGCUCGGCAAGCUACGCCUAACAUCCGCCUUUGCAAGGCGGGGGUUAGGGGUUCGAGUCCCCUCGUCUCCA